UGAAAAAUUACAGCCGUUAAAACGGUUGCAUUUCUCUGAUACAUAUGAGGCUACAAUGUAACGGAUGUUAUGUUUUUGUUUUUUUCGCUCGCCAGCUGAUUGCUCAUUAUAUUCCACCUGUGCCAUUUACCUGUUCCAUUAGUGUGCUGUUCCCAGACACUUUCCCUUAACCUACAACGAAACCGAAAGAGUAGGCUAGCCUCUAGCGAUAAUUCACGGAAGUUUACGGGACUUGAUCAGACUGGAGCUGGGUUGAAAUCCUAAACCCAUCGGCAACAAUCCAUGACGGGGAAAGAAAUUAGAGCUACUGAAGACAAAUCGGCUAUGUUGGAAGACUCCAAGUUCAGUGGCACAUUGGGAAUCCGCCGGCCGACACGUUGAUUUUAGAUGUAGGCUGCAGUCUACAGAUAUAACUUUACGUAACCAUAGCGGUACGUGAAAACUGGAAUAACUUUUGAACUAGGCUACUCAACGAACAAGCUUUGUGAUACUAUCCACGGAAAUGUGAAUUCGUGACCAAUGCCGUCGCAGCCCGACAAAGACCUGCUGCAGCUGCUGUGGCUGAUUCACAGAGAAUGGGAUUCUCACGUUUGAGGAUCACCCAAUAGACAAUGAUAAAUGUGUGUCUCCAGGCAGGUGCUCUGUGUCUUUGUGGUAACGGUGUUCCUUGUGAGCAUAACCUACAGCAGACGAAAAUGCAACUACCCAGAGAUACUCAGCAGUUACAAAGAGCUGAUUUUCAUUGAACUCCUGAAUCUGGCCCUACUACUAUCUACUCUACCCUAUCUUCUGGUCAUAUAUGUGUGAAUGUUUAAGGUGCCAUUCAGGAGUUCGGUUGUAUGCCUUCACAUUUAAGUAAUCUUACUGGACCUUACACUUCAUCCAAGCAAAAUGACCGGUGUCCCUCCGGAAAGGUACAUCGUGUCCUGAGUUCAAUAUAUGGCAUGACUCAAUUGUUCAAGUGCCAAGAUAAAGGCAAGUGGUAUCGUCAAUUAAGAUGGCCUGUGGAAAGAAUGGGACGGCUGAUCAGACAGAAAUGCAGACACGCUGAUCUAGUGAAAGGACAGAAUAAAACAUCUUGUAAAUCUGGAAAAGUCUUGAAGGGCAGAAGGAAGAAAAAGAAGCUUAUUGAGGCACUAGUACUAUGUUGGCAAAAGUUGCAGAGCAUUUACAUUCCGAAGCCACAAAGGAGAAGGAGGCCGUGAACCAACCAUUGCUUUCAAAGGACUUAUACACUCACUGAGCACUUUAUUAGGUAGAUCUGUACACAAGCUUCUUAAUGCAAAUUUUGAAUCAGCCAAUCAGCCGGUCAGAUGUUUUUCAGACCAAAUAUCAGAAUGGGGAAGAAAUGUGAUCUAAGUGACUUGGUACCAGACAGGGUGGUUUAAGUAUCCCAGAAACCGCUGAUCUUCUGGGAUUUUCACACUCAGCAGUCUCUAGAAUUUGCAAAGAAUGGUACAAAAACAUCCAUUGAGCAAAAGUUUUGCAGGCAAAAACGCUUUCUUAAUGAGGGAGGUCGGAGGAGAAGGGCUAGGGCUGACAGGAAGGUGACAGUAAUGCAAAUAACCACACAUUAUGUGGUAUGCAGAUGAGCAUCUCGGAACACACGUCAAACCUGUAAGUGGAUAAGCUACAGCAGCAGAAGACCAAUAUGUAAUAAAUAAAAAAAAGUAAAAUAAAAUAAAAAAACCUAAUAAAGUGCUCUCGGACUGUAUAUAGUGUACCCAAGGGGUUUCCAGGAAAUAUUACUGUCAUCAUUUUUAUAUUGAAUGUGUCAACUGUAUUUUAUGUGGAUGAUGUUCAUGAAAUACAUGUUCAUGAUUCUGUAUGCAUUGUGAUGUAUGAAUAUUAUUUUAAGAACUGUAUUACUCAUAUGGUGCAAUUUAUAUAGUUGAUUGUGUACAAUAUGUAAUUAAGAUUUAAAGAUGUACUUCAUUUGGAAAGGUUCAACCCUGGCAGGCACGGACAGUAAACUAGUUUUCCAUUUGAAAAAUAUGGUAUUCACACUAUGGUUUUUACAUGACAACAGCCAAAUGAAAACAAAAAUAUCUGAAAAGCUAUUACUGAAUCUUAAUGCUGGCUGUAAUACAAUGUGUACUUUCACAAAUUAUCACGCUAGAAUAUUAGAAAACGUAUUCUACACUUCCCAGUGAGAAAAUUUGUUGUGACCUUCUUGCAUUAAAGGUUAAUGUCUAAA